rnacentral:lncRNA from 1 species
CCUAGCAACGACUGGAAUAGACAGCCACCAUUAUGGUCCCUAAGGUAACAUUCCAGAGAUGGCCAACAUUAAAAAUGCUCAUCAGUGGGUCACUGCCAAUGCCUGCCAUUUCACCAACAUACUAAGAUUAAAUACAUCUGUGUGGGGACGAGAUUCUUCUUACUAAAGACAAUAACUUGAUCUCAAAUCUUAUUCUGGCGACACAAAGUUUUCACGAAGCUUUGAAAGUUUCCUGACUACCAAAUAUCAAGGUUAGUUUGAAAUUUUUGGGAGACUGAGAGAAUCGAUCAUAUCAAGAAUUCAUGGGCGGAUGUACGUUGUACAAGGAGGGGCAGUUGCCACCCGUAAAAUAUGACAAAUAGUUAUUAGUGUUACCAAAUUUCAGAAAAAAACGCUUGUCACAAUGGAUUUUCCCCCCAUCCCAUCUAAGCCUUUGUCUCCGGUUCGAAACUUUUGUUUCUUCGUAGGCAUAUUCUUUAAAUUUAUUGAGUCCUAGUGGUUUGUCCGCGCUUCGCGGGGAUUGUUCGGUUUAAAAUUUAUGAUUUUGUUGGAUAAUUUUCAUUGUCAAUAGAUACAGAGGUUUUAAUACGGUUGUAUUUUAUGUGUUUGGCAUGCUAGUGUAAAGUUUUAUGUAAUGUGUGUAUCGUAAAUAUAAUGGGUGUAACAUAGUAAAUGUUUUGGCUUUUUAGGGUUGUCUUUAAGGUCAUAAAGAGGGGAUUGAUGAAAGAAAGGGGAAUGUUACUAUGAAAUUGUGGAAAAUACUAAGCAAAAACUCUGAUAUUUUCCAAUAGUGAAACACUAGUUGACUAUGAUAUUUCCCAAUAGUGAAACUCCUCUUUAGAUGCUUUCUGAUAAUUGGUUUCCAUGCUUCCCUUUCUAGUGGUUGAGGAAUGUUUUAAGUGAGCUUCUUCUGGGAGAUUUGAAUGUUGUUAUGUUAUUGUUUUGGAAUUAUAUAUUCGUUUGAAGAAAAUUUGGUGGGGCAUUCAGGAUUUUGUUUUGUUAUAUGAGGUGAUCUAACCGUGAUGAUGAUGUUGUAGGUCAGAUUUCAA